rnacentral:tRNA from 1 species
GGGCGGUUAGCUCAGCGGUAGAGCACUACCUUGACAUGUUAGGGGUCACAGGUUCGAACCCUGUACCGCCCACCA